rnacentral:rRNA from 1 species
CCUACGCGUGGCAGCAGUGAGGAAUAUUGGUCAAUGGGCUUACGCCUGAACCAGCCAAGUCGCGUGAGGGAAGACUGCCCUAUGGGUUGUAAACCUCUUUUGUCAGGGAGCAACGCCGGCUACGUGUAGCCGGACUGAGAGUACCUGAAGAAAAAGCAUCGGCUAACUCCGUGCCAGCAGCCGCGGUAAUACGGGGGAUGCGAGCGUUAUUCGGAUUUAUAGGGUUUAAAGGGUGCGUAGGCGGAAUGCCAAGUCAGCGGUAAAAUCGCGGGGCUCAACCUCGCUCCGCCGUUGAAACUGGCGUCCUUGAGUGGGCGGGAAGUAUGAGGAAUGCGGGGUGUAGAGGUGAAAUGAAUAGAUAUCACGCAGAACUCCGAUUGCGAAGGCAGCAUACCGGCGCCCAACUGACGCUGAAGCACGAAAGCGUGGGUAUCGAACAGGAUUAGAUACCCCUGUAGUC